rnacentral:lncRNA from 1 species
AAAAAAUAAAUUAUUUAGUAAUAGAAUAUUUUUUCACGAGUCAAGAUGUCUGGAAAAUAAAAGCAACCGAUAUGUUGUCAGAGCGACCUUCAAAAAUGAUAAAUUCAGGGCUCUUCAAAAUUGAAGAAAAAAAUUUAGAAAAGAAAGAUUUAGAAUAUGUGCGUCAGUCAAUGUAUAUAGAGAGAAGAAAACUGCAUCCGGC